AGGUAUAGUUUCAGUUUAAUUUGACACAAUCGUGUAUUGAGCGUACACGAGAAACGACUCAAUGAUUCAUAGUUCGUUUAUUUUAUCAAUAACACAGCAAACAAUGUAUGAACGGGUUAAGUUCAUGGUAUUAUUUGCAUGAAAAUUGUGAAGGGACUCUUAUAUAGAUGGAAAACUAGAAGCAUUUUGGGUCUUUUCUUUGAAGCCGUCGAAAUUGGAUUACGUUAUAACGUUCAAAACGCGAUUAAGAUAGAUAAGAGGAGUUAAAGAAGAUUAUGCAUAAUCAACUGCCCAUCUGGAUUGACACUUGAACCGACAAUGAAAUAUUUUUUGACAAAAAAAGAUAAUUGUUGAAAAACUGAUAGUAGCUCAAUCUCUAAACGAAACACUGACACCAUUUUCGUGUUUAGAAUAAAACGUUUAAACGUCUAUUGCAUUCAUAUUCGUAUGAUUCAAUACCAUCUUCAAUACACAGGUAAUACUUUAAAUAAUAACAAUGGACACAAUUCACUAGCAUGCCAUUACAACAUUUACUGCGUAAAUGAAAGCGAAACGCUUGGUCAUUUAACCUUCCCUCAUCCAACAUUGAAGGGUCGCUGUGGGCGUAGUAAGCGCAUAUAAAGUUCAAACAACUACGUUUUCUAAGCCUUUUGAAGGUAAUAAGUAUGCAUUUGUAAAAUCAAAUGAUCGGACACCAUUUUGCGUUAGAAUAAUUGCUCUUCGAAUAAGCUUUUACCAUAUUAAUGUGCACAUCCACUCUGUCAAUGCACUUAAAAAGAUAUUAUAAAUACAACAUUAUUUCUAUUACAUAUACCACAAAUAAAAUUCAUUUACAAGAUAACGGUGGUAAAACGAGAAAAGGGAAGCUAGGAUUCAUUAAAUUGCUUAUUCAUCCACAGUAAUUAAUGUCGUAUCUUACCUGUACCAUACACAAUAAAUCAGACAAUCAUUUCUAUAUAUAUAUAUACUAGGAUUGCAAUUUAUUUCAAAUCUUGAAUGCCCCGCUCAAAAUGGAUAUUCCCGUGAAGCGCGUUAUCUUUACAUACGAAGGGAAAUUACUCGUCAUUAAACCAAUGUAUGGAAAGCGAAGUAACGCCCGUUUUUUAAUCCGCAUCACAUCAAUGCAAAUUUUAUCAUUACGCAGAAAAUAGCUGGGAUAUAUUGUCCCGUAUAUAUAUCUUUAUUUGAUAUUUAAAAAAAUAAGAAGUAGAUCACCCUAACAUGUUUCAUUUUAUGACUGCUCAUACCUAUUUAAUUAAUUAAAAUUUGACAUACUUUAGCGUUAACUUAAACUAGACAUGUCAAGAUCACGUGACUACGGAAUGUGGAAAAUUGCUAACACGAGGGAAAGAAAAAAACGAAGAAAUUCAGGUUAAACGACUUAAAACCAUUCAAGUGCCCGAUGAUCAGUGGUUUUAGGGUUUGUCACUUCCAUGGAAUACGAACUCGCUAAUGCUCUGGAAGAUGAGCACACUAAUGGCGCUGCCUCACAUGAUCGGGCUUUGCCUUCAGUAAGACACGACAAAGCAUAACUCAUCUGCUUCUUCUCGUUUGAUGAGCAGCCCCUAUUGUACGACCGAAUGGAAGACUCGUUCCUGUGGCAUGACAUGAACCAUGAUGUGUCUUGCCUGAAAUCCGGCGUCGUUCAUCAUGUUGAUAGCUGUUGCACGAAGGCAGUGCGAAGUGUACCUUUGCUAUUGUGAAUUUUGACGUACUCACCAGAGUGAUCAGUGCUGAACACCAAGCUGCCAUGGCGUAAUUGAUGGUGUACUUCUAGGCCACGGAUAACAAAAUGAAUGGCUUAGUACCACAUGCAUUCCCGUAAUGCAAUCGCAGAUGUUUCAUACUACUCCAAGUACGACCCAAUCUUCUAAAGAUAAGCUUCCGAAAUAACUUCCUUGUGCUUCGUUGGGGCAGAUGUAUCAUUGGAUGUUCUGUGCUUCAAGAAGCCAUUUAGUGUAUUAUUUGCACUGGUGAAUGCUUUAUCACGGACCAAGUCAAUGUCCUUUUUUAAAUCCUUCAAAUGACUUUUCAAGGCACUGCGAAUGUUGGUGAGAGUAUUCCUGUGAUAUUUUCCGGAUAGCAAAACGGGUUGUUUUCGGGCUUCUUUCUGCCAUUCUGUUUAUUCAAUGGAUAUUUGUUACAGAAUUUGUUGAAUGACUUAAGAAUUUAUGUCCACAUGUAGAAGAAAUUCGAGCAACAGCAGAAAGUAAAAUCAUCAUCAUAAUCGACAUCACCAUUAUCAUCAACAAUAUUUUAGAAAUGUAUUCAAUAUAUAUUGUUAUUUUGUAAAUUCAUUUCUUUUUUUUUCUUUUUUUAAAUAUGAAAAAAUAAUCAAAAACGAAUUUCAUCCAUUUAAUUUUGGCUAUAAAAAUUGACAUUAAAUUAUUUACCUUGAAAGACAUUCACACCCCAUUCAGUGUUUUUUCUUGUUGCUGCAGAUUUGUGGUUUUCCUCUAGCUUCACAAGGGCAUCGUCUUUUUUGGAAUUAAACCUUUAAGGGGCAAAUUGACUGCAAUUUGCAGCGUGUUCGAAUAUUGACUGUCCUAGUCACAAUGUUGCUGCAGGUGGGUUUGCUGCAGGUGGUGUCGCUGCUGGUGUGAGUGAUGUUGCAUUUGAUAUAGUGCCAAUCAUAAACUGUCCAAUAUCAAUGGUAUACAUUAAUUCGUCAUCGGAAUCUAAUAAAUCCAACUUAAGUAGGCCGGCCAUUAUAAACAUUUGCCAUACUGCAGCAGCAGACGACGUAGUGUUUUGUUUGUUUAAACCAAUUUUAAAAGUUAUUUUUAGAUAAUUUCAUGUAACCAGGUCAGAAAUAUACAAUGUAUUAUUCACCCAUUCUCGAUAUUGUAUGUUUGCUUUGAAAAUCUGUUUGAAUAAAGAAAUUAUUUGUCUUUGUUACACAUUAUUUUGUUUUAUUUAAGCGUGUUUUAUUGUUUGAUAGGAAGCGUGUAAUGCGCAUGCGCUUAACUAAAAUUUGUUCAAUAAGUAGGUCGCCGAAAUUACUACGCCGGUAAAUCAUCAGAGGCAUUCUUGCGAAAAUGAACGUCAUUUCAUUUGUGCAUAAACAUACUCAAAAAUGUAAAUGCGUGUAUAUUUAUAUUUAUUUAACUGUAUAUUAAAAAUGUGAUAUUAUUUAAAUGUUUUUUAAUUUAAUGAUUCAAUAAAGCUCAAGCAGCAAUUAUUGGGAUAUUCAAGGUGAUGUUUUGUCGAGAAAUUGGGAUUGGAGAGAUACUGUUAUGGAAAAGCUAAGCUUAUGAGUUAACUGAAGGUAAUACAUUUUGGGGAACUAAUGUGUUAUGUUUUAUUUAAUUAAUUAUAAAAGAAAUACUCUAUGAGCACUGCCGUUACGUUAAUCUAUAUGUUGGCAUAUGUGUUUCAAUUGGCCUUAGAUUGCUUCUUAUCCCCACUUUCGCAUUUUACGGAAUAUGAUUAUACCUAUAUCAAAAAUUAAUAUGUGUCCUUGGUAUCAACUACUCGCUUAAAUCUUGUACGAAUUACACGUAUUUGGGUAAAUUUUACCAAAAAGCAGUUUACAAGUACAGGUACUGUUACAAAUAGCACUUGAAAAAAGUUCUUAUAAAUUAUUUAUAUCUAUAAACUCAUAAAUUAAUAUUUGUUAUCGUUUAUCGUCUGUUACUUUAAAAAAACUUUAUAUAAACUCCAAUAUAAUUGAUUGCAAAGUGCACUCACUCUUAAACUUUAUUUUCACUUGAUAUUAAAAGGUUUGGGAUUUCCAUAGAAUUGAAGAUGUAGAGCACGGCGCCAUGCACCAAAUAUCAGAAGCUUAUAUUUUAUUUGUAUGCCAGUUGUUAUCAGAUGACCAUAAAAAGAGAAUAUAAAAUGCUGUCUUUAUUUAUCCUACAAUGUACAGUUCCCUGCAGCGACGUCCCAAUAUGCUUUAGCUUAGCUCAUCUAAAAUCAGAUACAACAAAGAUUCAAUGGUGAUAGCUUUGUGUAAAAGUAGAUUUGUUUCUGCUUAGUGAUAU